UCCCUGGUCGGCAUCGUUUAUGGU
rnacentral:siRNA from 1 species